rnacentral:tRNA from 1 species
GACCUUGUAGUGAAGUUCAUGGUGGGUUGCAAGCUCAUCGAUGUGCACGGAUGUGCGCCGGGGUCU